AAAGUGGGGGACCUGCAAGGGCCUCACGCUAUGGGAGCGGCCGAUGGCCGAUUAGCUAGUUGGUGGGGUAAAGGCCUACCAAGGCGACGAUCGGUAGCUGGUCUGAGAGGAUGAUCAGCCACACUGGGACUGAGACACGGCCCAGGCUCCUACGGGAGGCAGCAGUGGGGAAUUUUGGACAAUGGGGGCAACCCUGAUCCAGCCAUGCCGCGUGAGUGAGGAAGGCCUUCGGGUUGUAAAGCUCUUUUGGUCGGGAAGAAAGGGUUUCCUUGAAUACGGGAGAUUCAUGACGGUACCGGCAGAAUAAGCACCGGCUAACUACGUGCCAGCAGCCGCGGUAAUACGUAGGGUGCGAGCGUUAAUCGGAAUUACUGGGCGUAAAGAGUGCGUAGGCGGUUGCUGAAGUCCGCUGUGAAAGCCCCGGGCUCAACCUGGGAAUGGCAGUGGAAACUAGGCGACUUGAAUCUGGCAGAGGGGGGUGGAAUGCCGCGUGUAGCAGUGAAAUGCGUAGAGAUGCGGCGGAACACCGAUGGCGAAAGCAGCCCCCUGGGCUGAGAUUGACGCUCAGGCACGAAAGCGUGGGGGAGCAAACAGGAUUAGAUACCCUGGUAGUCCACGCCCUAAACGAUGGCACUAGGUGUUGGGGAAGCGAUUUCCUGGUACCGCA
rnacentral:rRNA from 1 species